UACGUAGGGGGCAAGCGUUGUCCGGAAUUAUUGGGCGUAAAGAGCUCGUAGGCGGUCUGUCGCGUCUGCUGUGAAAACUCGGGGCUCAACCUCCAGCCUGCAGUGGGUACGGGCAGACUAGAGUGCGGUAGGGGAGAUUGGAAUUCCUGGUGUAGCGGUGGAAUGCGCAGAUAUCAGGAGGAACACCGAUGGCGAAGGCAGAUCCUG
rnacentral:rRNA from 1 species